UACAGUGUAGCUGGGCUGCAGUGCAUGGUGGCGGGGCUGUGCUUAGGUACUAAUGGGCUAGGCGAACUGCUGCACCAGGCUGCGGUUGCUGCACAGGCUGUGGCAGGAGCGUGCUGGUGACUGGGCUCCAGUAGGCGCUAACAGAAUGGAUGGAUGGGCUCCAGGGUGCAUGCUGGGAGCGGAGCAUGUCUUACUAAAGGAUCCUGUAGAUGUUGCUUCUCAUGGUAGCGGGUGAUAUGUAGCAUCUGCUGAUUCCCUGCACUCCUUUCUGCAGAGGCUCGGAGCUUAGACUGGCGGAGAACUGACCUAACGCAUGGCAGCAAGGACAAGCUUAGACCUGGG